AGGGAAGGGACAGGAGAAAACACCUAGAUCUUUGUGCUCCUCUUUAGAAGUUUCUUAAAAUGAGGUGGAAUCUCUCCACAAGAGUGCUAUUGAUGCUAAUCAAAGUAUGCAAACUCCUAAAACCACAAGAUCAAAUUAUGCCAUGUCUUCUAGUCAAGGAAUGCGAACAAUGGAUAAAAAACCCUUGAUUCUUGAGAAAGAGCAUAUGCAAACCAAUAUUUCAUUGCCACCAUCUACUGAUCAAGUUAUGCAACACUCCCAAUCAGUUGAAACAGGUAUGAUAUUUUGAAUCCAUGUGUUAUUAAUUUGAAGAACCAAAUUUUAUUGCUGUAGUUUUAACCAAAUUAUGCAAAUGUAGGUUCAUCUAAUCCUAGAAAGGUAAAAAGAGUUCGGGGUAGGAACAAGUGUAAAGAAGUUGCAUCACUUGAAGUUGGACAAAAGCUUAAAGUAACUUUUUACAAUAAUCGAAUUGUUGGAACAAAUAGCAACUUGUUUUCGAGGCACUUGGGAAGAAUAAUUCGUGAUCGUAAUAUGUGUCCGUUGGGAGUUCCAUCGUGGAAUGAUAUUAAGCAAGAAAAAUUGAAUCACAUGUGGGCAGCUGUUGAGGAUAAAUUUGAGAGUGCUGACAUGAAUGAUCAUCGUGAUCAUGUCUUGGAAUGAAUGAAAGAGUUAUGGAACAAAUGGAGAGGAUACUUGCAUGCACAAUAUGUGAAAAAUAAUCCAAUCCAACAGGCUCUUAAGAAUAUGCCAAAGGGAGUAGACAAGAAAGAAUGGGAGUGGUUAGUAAAAGAACAUUUUACUUCAGAAAGUUUUCAGGCGAGAUGCAACAGGAAUGCAGCAAAUCGAGCUAAGUUGAAGAUGCCUCAUCAUAUUGGUAGCAAGCCUAUUCGAGAGAUUAUUUAUCAAAAGGGCGGGAAAUAUGACAAUCCACCAGAUUUGGGGACUGUUUUCUUCGAGACUCGUAAGAAAGAUAACAAGCUUGUUGAACCUGAAGCAGUUGAAAAACAUGCUCAGAUCGAAGAAAUGGUACAAUCGGAGCCAUCUCUAUCUAGCAUAGAGAUUGUCGAAAAAUCUUGUGGACCUCAAACUCGUAGCCAUGUAUUUGGCUUUGGGGUUGGAGUAAAGGCGAAAGACUUGAAAGGUGGAACCUCUUCAAAGGCUGAAUUGUUGUCUGCGCUACGUUCGACUCAAGAAGAAGAAAAUUCCUUGAAUGAGAAAAAUAAAUCCUUGAAUGAUCGCUUGUCUGCAUUAGAAGAUGAGAUGAAAGAAAUUAAGAAAAUAAAAGAAUUCUUUGCCGCUCAACAAUCAUAUGUCCCGCCUACGACAUCGCCCGUUUCAACUGAAUGACCACUGUUUUUGUCUGCUAACCAACCUCGAUGAUUUUGCUGGAUAACACCUAAUGAAUUUAUUAGAUUGCUUUUGGGGUUUUGAAGAUUGAAUUUGACAAGUCAAGAUGGAAGUUUAGAAGAUGCACAAGCUCAUUAUUUUGCUAGGAAUGUUAUGCACUCGCUAUCGUAGUCUAGCUCGAGUGUUAGCAAUGCUUUUUUGUUAAGGUGUCGAGCAAAUAUUGAAACUAACAUCAUGGGUGUUAAAAAUUUUACUGUAAUUAAUAACUCUAUCUUUCUCUUUAUAUAUAUAACGCUUUUGUAUCUAGAUGUUUUAG